UACGAAGGUCCCAAGCGUUAUCCGGAUUUAUUGGGUUUAAAGGGUGCGUAGGCGGGUUAUUAAGUCAGUGGUGAAAGCUCCAUGCCUAACAUGGAAAUGGCCAUUGAUACUGAUGAUCUUGAGUACAUUUGAAGUGGGCGGAAUGUGUCAUGUAGCGGUGAAAUGCUUAGAUAUGACACAGAACACCGAUUGCGUAGGCAGCUCACUAAACUGUAACUGACGCUGAGGCACGAAAGCGUGGGGAGCGAACAGG
rnacentral:rRNA from 1 species